rnacentral:rRNA from 1 species
GAUGAACGCUGGCGGCGUGCCUAAUACAUGCAAGUCGAGCGAACGGACGAGAAGCUUGCUUCUCUGAUGUUAGCGGCGGACGGGUGAGUAACACGUGGAUAACCUACCUAUAAGACUGGGAUCACUUCGGGAAACCGGAGUUAACACCGGAUAAUAUUUUGAACCGCAUGGUUCAAAAGUGAAAGACGGUCUUGCUGUCACUUAUAGAUGGAUCCGCGCUGCAUUAGCUAGUUGGUAAGGUAACGGCUUACCAAGGCAACGAUGCAUAGCCGACCUGAGAGGGUGGUCGGCCACACUAGAACUGAGACACGGUCCAGGCGCCUACGGGAGGCAGCAGUAGAGAAUCGGCCGCAAUGGGCGAAAGCCUGACGGAGCAACGCCGCGUGAGAGAUGAAGGUCUUCGGAUCGUAAAACUCUGUUAUUAGUGAAGAACAUAUGUGUAAGUAACUGUGCACAUCGUGACGGUACCUAAUCAGAAAGCCACGGCUAACUACGUG